AGUGAACGCUGGCGGUAGGCCUAACACAUGCAAGUCGAACGGCAGCACAGUAAGAGCUUGCUCUUACGGGUGGCGAGUGGCGGACGGGUGAGGAAUACAUCGGAAUCUACUUUUUCGUGGGGGAUAACGUAGGGAAACUUACGCUAAUACCGCAUACGACCUACGGGUGAAAGCAGUGGAUCUUCGGACCUUGCGCGUUUGAAUGAGCCGAUGUCGGAUUAGCUAGUUGGCGGGUUAAAGGCCCACCAAGGCGACGAUCCGUAGCUGGUCUGAGAGGAUGAUCAGCCACACUGGAACUGAGACACGGUCCAGACUCCUACGGGAGGCAGCAGUGGGGAAUAUUGGACAAUGGGCGAAAGCAUGAUCCAGCCAUACCGCGUGGGUGAAGAAGGACUUCGGGUUGUAAAGCCCUUUUGUUGGGAAAGAAAAGCAGCAGGUUAAUACCCCGCUGUUCUGACGGUACCCAAAGAAUAAGCACCGGCUAACUUCGUG
rnacentral:rRNA from 1 species